rnacentral:rRNA from 1 species
UACGGAGGGUGCAAGCGUUGUCCGGAAUCACUGGGCGUAAAGGGCGCGUAGGCGGACAGGCAAGUCAGGGGUGAAAUCCCACGGCUCAACCGUGGAAGUGCCUUUGAUACUGCCGGUCUCGAGGGAGGUAGGGGCGUGCGGAACUUCCGGUGGAGCGGUGAAAUGCGCAGAUAUCAGGAGGAACACCGGUGGCGAAGGCGGGUCUCUGGGCCGAUACUGACGCUGAGGAGCGAAAGCGUGGGGAGCGAACAGG